rnacentral:rRNA from 1 species
GACGAACGCUGGCGGCGUGCUUAACACAUGCAAGUCGAACGGAAAGGCCCUGCUUUUGUGGGGUGCUCGAGUGGCGAACGGGUGAGUAACACGUGAGUAACCUGCCCUUGACUUUGGGAUAACUUCAGGAAACUGGGGCUAAUACCGGAUAGGAGCUCCUGCUGCAUGGUGGGGGUUGGAAAGUUUCGGCGGUUGGGGAUGGACUCGCGGCUUAUCAGCUUGUUGGUGGGGUAGUGGCUUACCAAGGCUUUGACGGGUAGCCGGCCUGAGAGGGUGACCGGCAACAUUGGGACUGAGAUACGGCCCAGACUCCUACGGGAGGCAGCAGUGGAGAAUAUUGCACAAUGGGCGGAAGCCUGAUGCAGCAACGCCGCGUGCGGGAUAACGGCCUUCGGGUUGUAAACCGCUUUCGCCUGUGACGAAGCGUGAGUGACGGUAAUGGGUAAAGAAGCACCGGCUAACUACGUG